rnacentral:rRNA from 1 species
AUACGGAGGGAGCUAGCGUUGUUCGGAAUUACUGGGCGUAAAGCGCACGUAGGCGGCUACUCAAGUCAGAGGUGAAAGCCCGGGGCUCAACCCCGGAACUGCCUUUGAAACUAGGUAGCUAGAAUCUUGGAGAGGCGAGUGGAAUUCCGAGUGUAGAGGUGAAAUUCGUAGAUAUUCGGAAGAACACCAGUGGCGAAGGCGACUCGCUGGACAAGUAUUGACGCUGAGGUGCGAAAGCGUGGGGAGC